CAUGGCUCAGAUUGAACGCUGGCGGCAGGCCUAACACAUGCAAGUCGAACGGUAACAGGAAGAAGCUUGCUCUUUGCUGACGAGUGGCGGACGGGUGAGUAAUGUCUGGGAAACUGCCUGAUGGAGGGGGGAUAACUACUGGAAACGGUAGCUAAUACCGCAUAACGUCGCAAGACCAAAGAGGGGGACCUUCGGGCCUCUUGCCAUCGGAUGUGCCCAGAUGGGAUUAGCUAGUAGGUGGGGUAACGGCUCACCUAGGCGACGAUCCCUAGCUGGUCUGAGAGGAUGGACCAGCCACACUGGAACUGAGACACGGUCCAGACUCCUACGGGAGGCAGCAGUGGGGAAUAUUGCACAAUGGGCGCAAGCCUGAUGCAGCCAUGCCGCGUUGUAUGAAGAAGGCCUUCGGGUUGUAAAGUACUUUCAGCGGGGAGGAAGGGAGUAAAGUUAAUACCUUUGCUCAUUGACGUUACCCGCAGAAGAAGCACCGGCUAACUCCGUGCCAGCAGCAGC
rnacentral:rRNA from 1 species